rnacentral:rRNA from 1 species
UACGGGGGGGGGCAAGCGUUGUUCGGAAUUACUGGGCGUAAAGGGCUCGUAGGCGGCCAACUAAGUCAGACGUGAAAUCCCUCGGCUUAACCGGGGAACUGCGUCUGAUACUGGAUGGCUUGAGUUUGGGAGAGGGAUGCGGAAUUCCAGGUGUAGCGGUGAAAUGCGUAGAUAUCUGGAGGAACACCGGUGGCGAAGGCGAGGCGCUGGACCCUUUCUGACGCUGAGGCGCGAAAGCCAGGGGAGCAAACGGG